UGGCUUGUUUGACGGGUUUGGAUGGGAGACGUGACGGAGCAGCGGUGUCCGGCAGCCAGAACCAAACUAACGUGCUCCAUCCACUGCAGCCGCAGAGGCAAAGCAUUGCUUGGUUUUGUUUACAUUAGUGGAAAUUAACGGCUUAUUAAGGUAAGUCAGUCUUACUGCUUCCAUCCUUAAAAAAUUGUAUAUUUGGUAAGAAAAUACUAUCCUUGUUAUCAAGGAAUAGCAGUGUUGCAAACCAUUAUUUUAAAUAUAGAUUCUUAGUUCAUCAAUAGCUUGCCCACAGCACACCGCAGUAUGCUUAUGGAUGACAAAACAAUGCGGUUUCUAUUUAGUAACAUGAUUGUUUGCUCUCUUCUAACCUUGUCUUAAGAUUGUGACAAGCUAAAAUACAACUUUACAUGCUUAACAAAAUUGCCAUCGUUUGGUUUCUUGUAGACCAGUCUGGACAAUGAUGCAUUUUUGUAGCCCUUUGCUUGCUAAUUUUUAGCUGGUGAGUGAAGGCUCUUGUUAACCCUGAGAAACCACGCUGUCAAAUCCUCCCAUUUGAUUAAGGGCAUCUGCUGAACAGCAAGCUUUCCUCUUAAAAUUAGGUGAAUGUAGAUGAUGUUGGAAUAAUUGUUCUGGACUGAUGAUUCUCACACUAAAAAUAGCAUAUGGAGACUUUUCAGCAGAUUUGGUGCAGCUGUUCCUAUACCACUUGAUUAUUGCUUCCUGCACAUAAAGAGUUUGCAGUGCUCAAAUGUAAGCAGACAAUAUAAGGUAAGAAAUACCAGCACAAUUUGUUGUGUACUAACACCAGUAAUCUACUAAUGGGAACAAUAUCGUUUGUCCUAAGGUAUUUUGUGCUUAUUUAAUGAAAACUGAGAUGGUGCACACCAACACUUGUGGAAUCAUUCAUGCCAGUGCAAUGCAAAAUUCAAGCUCUAGUUUGCUCGGUUGUUAAGCUGAAUUAUUUUCUCAGUCAGAAACAGAACAGAAAUUGAUGCAAAGCUAUGUGAUGAAGCUGCCCUUUUAAUUAGGCAUAAAUGACAGGAAAAGUUCUCAUCCUUGAUUUUUUCCAUAAAUACUUCAAAACUCUGAAUUUAAGUCUUUAUAAAAAAGCCCUUGGAAAAGUGGAAUGUUUUAGUAAAAUGCAAAAAAGCUCAUCAUUGGUUUCAGAUAGAUACCAGGUUGAUUUGCCUUUCUUAGCAAGUAUACAGCAAAAACCAAAAACAUUACCUGAAAGCCCCUCUCAGCAUACCUUAUGUUCUGCUCUUCACAUUCCCACACUCCCACAUUGUAUAAAAGGGUGUUUUAAGAAUUCCUGGGAGAAUAAAGUUUAAUUAAUUCAGGUUAAAGAGCUGUGAGAAGGAAUAGCUCCCAUCAAGACUGGCAUGACUACAGCCUGAUCUAUUAAAACAGUAGAAAUCCUUUUGCACUCUUAAUUUUACAGCUUUCCCAUGGGGAAGGAAGGCUGGGGGGAGGACAAGGUACAGGCCUGGGUCAACAGGUUCUGUGGAUAUGGGGGAGAGGUUGUGUGGUGUUGAUAUCGGGGAGGGGGCAGGGAGGCAGAGGUUGCUUAGUCUGUUCAAGAUAACCAGGUCUUGUGGUCUUGUAAGGUUCUCUUGGUAACUACCCACUGUCUCAACUUCUAUCUAGAUGCAAGCAGAAAUGCCUAUCUUCAGCUGUGUUUUCAUCUAGGUGGCCCUUCUUGUAUCAUGUAACCUGUACUACUCUCCAAGUUUCUCUUUUAAGGUGAAGUUUUAUUGCAUUAAUCUAAUCUCAAAGUUAGAAGAAUUAUGAUAAUGCCAGCAGCAGCCUCUGUGUAUUACAGUAAAGGCCUGCAAUGAUCAUAAAAAGCAAAUUCAAUUACUGCUAUAAUGUUCAUAGCUGAUAAUACCUUUGGAAAUAGAGGCAAAGGCUAAUGACUACUGGGAAGCAUGCUCUUUUAAAAGUGUUGGCUGUUACUUCCAGUGUCUCUGUUGGCCAAAUCAUAAGCAUAGGCUGCUGGAUGUCAUCUGCCUUCUGUGAUGCUGUCUGUAACAGGAAGGUAUUAAUAUGCUGUACUGCUCUUCUUUAGGGAAAGAAGCAAUUCUUCACUCACCCAUUACAGUCUCUUGAAAAAAAAUAUAUUGUGUGUGUGAUUCAGUACAGAAUCAUUCAUGGUGUACAAAGAGUAUAGUACUGUAAUCAAACAUGCCCAAAAACAGAUGUACAUCUGAAAUACAUUUAUCUCUGCAAAGUGAUAAAUGCCUUAACAGAGUAUGGUCUAGAGCCAAACUAAAAAUCUCAAGGACCAAUUACGUGAAGAUUCUUUGUUUUGUUUGACAAUAAAAACAUAUUUUCCUUGACAUUUUAGCAAACUGACUUUUCAACUUUUCAAGCAGAAACUAUAGUAGUGUGUCAUUCAAAGAAGUAAGCAGAUGAUGUAGUGUUCAAAAGGGACAUGUCCAAGCAUUCUGUGUAAUCCUGGAAGAGAUAAUGCCUGUAAUUGUUCAGUAGGGUUGUUAUGUGAUUGCUGAAGAGCUGAAAGAUGAAGGUUUUAAGCACACCUCUAGUCUGGAAGGAUUCAGAUUUGUAUCUCUUAUACUUUAAAAGCUACUUUGAGCUGUACAACAACUGUGAAGAAGGGUGUAAACCAUAAUAUCAACCCCUGGUAGAACUGGCUCUUCCUCAGUCUGGAAUAAAGGAGCCAGAAGAGAUACCUUUGUGAUUCAUCCUCUUAAACAAGAGUAGGAAGAGCUACAUUCUCUUUGUUCCUGUGGUUGUGUAUUAAUUAUGCAGUCAUUAAUCUGGGGAGAAAAGACAACACUAAGUGAAACAAAAGUUUUUUUCCUCUUUUGACCUAAAUCUUGUACCUGUCAGCUUUCUUGAUAAGGUGUGUGUUUCAUAUACCUAAAGUCACUGUUACAGGACACUGUUACGUGGAUAGGACAGAGGGGACUAAAUUCUGCUUGAUAAAAUACUAAGCAUUUUGUGUAACUCUCAGUAGUUAGGGAGGGCAGGGGUACCUCUGUAUUGGGUUUCACCUUGUCUACCUGCCAGAGAGUUAAGCACGGGAAAGAUGUAAAUCAGUGUAUACUAGAGUGUAUUACAGCUGUGUUCAAGAUUAUCAUAGAAUUACUGCUUAUGCGAUUGCACUUUUGAAUAGAUAAAUUCCAUGGGUUUCCAUGGCUGUACAUGCAGUUUCUUUAAGUGCUAGGCAGACAUUUUUCUAGAAAAGAGAGCCUUCUAGUAAGAAGAAAGGUGUGUCUGUCUAGAGAGGGUGGUGCUUCUGCUGUGCUCUUGAGAAAUUUCUGUGCAUUAAAAACAAAGUUUAGAUGGGUUUCAUUUCUCACUGUCCCGUAGGAGAUGAAAAUGAGGUCUCAGGUAUGUCUGUUUUAUUACAGCAUUGUUGAGAAAGGUUGAAAAUGGUUAGAAGGAGGAAAGGAAAAGCAAUCUGACAAGGCAUAGAAAAGAAAAAAAUGCUACCAGUUCCAGAGAGAAAACUAAAUUGAGGUACUGCAUUGUAACUAUAAAAUUUACCCACUUUAUCAUCUUCAUAGCAGCACUUAAAAGACAGGGAGGGCAGCAACACUAUUUACAGAACAUAUUUGAAUCUUGUAUUUUGAAGGUAUGUUUUGCCUCUAAACUCAUAACAUUCCUACACCUUAUCACUUAUAAACACUUGCAUUGUUUUAGUGCAUUUUACAUGUGGAUUAUCAAUAACUGAUGCUCCUCCUAGGUCAAUAAAAGAAGCCAACUAAUUUCUUGAAACACACCACGCAGUGUUUUCCCAGUCUUUCUAGCCCUAUGGCUUCAGUUAGGGUGCUAGGAUAUGACACCUUUCCAUUUCUGUCACAAAAUUAUUACCUUAGCUGUGUAGCUCUGUGCUGACAUAGGGGGGAAUUUCAAGUGGCUUCUGGCCUGUCCCUUUUGGUAGCCAGCCCAUGCCCCACAUUGCCAAGUGGGAGUAGCAGUGAGUGUGCAUUACUGUAAAUGCUGCCCAGAUUUAUGGGGCACUGAACUAACUGACCGUUGCUAAAUAUAAUACCUGCCAUGGAAGUCCAGCUAAUGCACAUUCAAGUUUAAAAAAUCACAGUAUUAUAUCUGGAAAUUUGGAAUAUUAAGACCAUUAUUUCAGACAUAUUUGGGGUUUUUUACCUUCUUUGUUUGGGACUACGUGCCUAAGUUUAAAACUGUCCAGGAUAACAUUCGGCAUUUUAAUUGAUGCAGUCAUCUUAAUUACAGUAGGGCCCUCAGCAGCUUUUUAAAAUUUGCUACCUACAGCUAAAAAUACAGUGUUGGAAAGACAUACUUGUCUGUAAGAUACAUAACCAGUAUUUUUACUUUUCACCGUAGUGAGAAGUGUUUCCAAUUAAACAGUAGGAUUAAAAUAAUAAAAAUAAAUAGUUCAUAUCUGGGAAAUUUGCAGAUUAUGUUGGCCACCACAGUGGCAAAGAGCUGACAACUAAAGAAGCAGGUAAGUUUUGUUUUUCAGGUACACCGUGUUUUGGUAAAGUACCAGAGUGUAUUGGUUACUGUGAAAUAUGAAUGUUUUCAGUCUUAACUUUGUAAAUAGAUUUAAAUAAGCCAUUCUUCUCAAUUACUACUAAAACAGAAUUUAAAAUGCAGCUGAAGCAUUAAUUUAACUUUUCUUUUUAAUGUGUGAAAUGUGAAUGCAUAUGUAUAUUGACUUAACACUGUGGGAUUGCUAGUGAUGUGUUGCAUAUGGUUCUUAAUGUUCAGUACUUACAGAGCAGCACUUCUUACAAAAGGAGCAUAUAUUUAACUGGACAGAAAACAUCUGAACAAAUUAUAAGAAAACUUCAGCCUUUUUUAAAACUGUGUUAAUGAGCAAGCAACAUUUGUAUUGCUUGGCCUUCUAAGAAAAUGCAAUUAAUCAGUCUGAAAAGGCCAGAGUUUGUUUUUUCUUUUUUACUAGAAGUCUUCUUUUUCUACCUGCUGAAAACACUAUAUUUUCCAAGUCUUUAUUAAAUGUAAAUCCUUGUUUUAAUGGUGAAGAGAAAUAUGUGGCGCUCCAAAGCUGUGAGAAGAGACGGGGACUAGGUGGUACGAGUGUUGAAGGCUUCUGGAGAUGAGACAGAGUUGCUCAACAGUGUUCAUCCCUAGCAGAGGACAGAGCAGUGCUACAGUGGUUGUUGAUUACCCACACAAAGACCAUUGUGCUUCCAUGCUGUGGUAUUCUCAGAGGCUCUUUUUUCAUCUGUCCAUUGCUAUUUGUGCCUUUUCUCCAAAAGGAAACGACUGUGUUCAAUUUCUUGAUAUUUUCUAAUGGUCCUUUUUCACUUUAGGAAACCUAAACUCUGUUUUGAUUGUGGAUGAGUCAUUGUCUCUCAUUUGUUCCUCCUACCCACAGUCUUUCUGUUGAGUGUGGGAGAUUUUUCCUGGAAUAUAGUAGCCACAUAUAUUUGAAUUGUCAUGUGCCCUGGAACCCAUUUCAGUGUUUCCUACUCUUCAGAAGCUAUGAAACACUUUGUAGGCAAAUACUUCAAGUUGCUUGGAUGAAAGACAUUAUAAAAUUGCAGGGAAUUAUUGCUUAAGCACUCAGAUAAAUUCAGAAUUUCCGUAUAGAAUCAGGAAGCAUCCCAGAUCUCAUGCUGUCUUUGUUGGAAUUUGAAGGCUGGUGCAUUGUAAGUCCCUGUUUGACUGUCACUAGAGCUCAAAGGCCAAAUCAUAACAAUCAGUAAAACAUGACUCUUGGGCUCAGAGCCAAAAGGUGGACAUUGCUGGGUUGUUUGCUUAUCUAGGAGGUCUGGCUCGAUUUGAGCUGCAGUCACUUUAUACAAGAUGGUAUCAUCCUAUAUAGCCAAUGCUAAAUCUAAUUAUUGUUUAGAGCAAAUUCAUUGCUUGAUCCUAGUAAGUCACUGUUACAAGUUCAUAAGCACAAGAAAGGAUAGGAUUCACUUGCCUUUUGGUAUCCCACUUGAAUCUCCAGGAGUUCACUUUAGUCUCAUAGUUUUUGCAAGGCAUUUCCCUGCUCUGUGCAGAUGUGUUCUGCUCCUUUUGGAUGUCUGGAGUGGCCAUUGCAAACUGUUGAGCCAUCAGCUGCAUCUCACUGUAAACACACAGAAACAUUUUCUGUUAACCACUUCUGUUCUUGGCAUAGUUUGAACAACAACUUGGGUUCAGAAUUCUGACAAGAACAAAAUGACUCUGUUGAACGUAAUGCAGUCAUUCCCUAGCUUUGACUUUCAGAAGUGUGUUAAUAUUUUAAAUUCACCUAGCCAUUGUGUUGGCCAGACCACAGAGUAGAGGCACAGGGGAAUAAGCUGAAAAGUUCUCUGUGGUGUAGAGACAAAUACAUGCAAAAAUCACUGCAGCUAAAUUUGCAGUGUCAGGAAAUCCCACUUUACACUGCUGCCCAUUCUCAAAUUCUUAAUUUAUUUUUUUUUUUACUGUUCUUAGUGUAAAAUGUUUUGUGUUUGGUCUCAGAUUAUGACUGAAAUAGAGGGAAGGGAAAUAAAAUGCCUUUCUUGUAGAUUAAAACUACUUCUGUAAAGAUCCAUUCAUGUGAGUCUAGAUAUUCCUAUUUAUUUAAAACAUGAGAAGUUUCCAAUAUUUAAAAUUUUUUGUUAUAAUUUGUAGAAACUUUUAAGGACUCUUCUCUAAUAGGCGCCUUUUUAUUAUGGAAGCUACUGUGCAAUUCAUAAAUAAGGGUGAUCCCUGAAACGUUAACAUUAUCUCUUCUGAUAUUGUAUUUGUUUAAAAAUGAGUAUAUGAAAGUUUAUGGACAGUUCUUCACCUUUUAGGUAUGUAAGAAUUUGUCACAUUGUUAAAGAAAGGUGGUUGCGCUUGGAUUGCGGGGAUUUUUUUUUUUUUUUGACAGGACAGGUAUGACAACUCUCUCUGGUUUUAGCAUGUGCGUACCCUGCCCAUCUCAAAUCCUGAUAGGACUAAAAACACUUACCCUGUCAGUAGAGCAGGCAAAAAUCAGUUUCCCAGAGAGUAUACUGUGCUGUUUAUUUUCAUAACAACACUGUUUGUAUAUGUAUUAACAAAUAAAAACUUGGUCUGACAGCAUGCUUAGAAAACAGGUUGUGGCAGGAGCUAUACAGGGAAAAAAGGUAACAUUAAUUUUUGGUGUAAUGUUCUGAUUAAAGAAGGUCAACAUGAAAACAGGCAUUAACAGGCAUCCAACUUAUCCAGCCUUCCUUCUUCCCACUAGAGAAAGAUCUGUAAAGUUCCUGUUAUUUGGGAGGCAUGUCAGUUCUUUGGUGGAGGUGGAAGGAAGGCACUGUUUGACCUAAAGCAUUUCCCCAUCUCUAGAAUUUUUCUGCUUGGUUUUAAGAAGUCAUGACCUAGCCAAUUAGAUGGCCAAUUUUCAGGCCAGAAGGUUGUCUUCCCUUUAGCGAGUCAAUUAAAAUAUACAUCCCUACCUUGGUUUUCCUUCCAGGUAGUCUAUUUAUAGUUAUCCAUCUGAUUUUCAUUACUAGAGGCAUAAUUGAUCUUUUGUCCCAUUUUGAAGCUUGUAUGCACCUGUCUUACAGGUUCAUAGCAAAAUCAAUUAUCCCUCUGGCUGCAGAUACAUCCUGGUGCUUCAUUGGGGAUUUGUCUGUGUGGAUGGAGUCCUGCAUGUCAGAGUGGCACCAGGUGAUGAGCUGGGCAGCAGAGCAGCUUGCGUGCUCCUGCUGUACCUGAUGUCACAUUGGUGUGGUCACUGGCAGCGUCUUGAGGACGUCUGGUAACAAAAACCAAAAACCAACCAACCAAAAAACCCCGCUUUGGUUGAGUUCUUUUAAAGAGGAGACUGAAAUAGAGAUUAAUUUGAAAACAGUGUGCUUGGACUUUUCUGUUCUCACAAGUCCAUAAUAGAAGAUUAGCAGUGUAGUAAGAUACUGAAUUAUGUGAUUAUGUGACUGAAAUGACCACUUUGCAUGUAGUAUUUAUAUAACUUUGCAGUAAUUCAAUUCAUCUGACUGAAGCAAAGUUUGAUUAGUUCAGUAAGUUACAUCUAUUUCAUUAUAAGCUUGUCCUCACCAAAAAAAAAAAAAGGCAAAAAAAAUUGGUUUGGCUAUUUGUGAUCAAGAUUUUUUUUUUUUUUAUGAAAUCAUUAAUUCUGUCUGAUAACAGACUUUAGUGGUCUUUAUGCCCUUUUGGCUGAAAAGAACACCUAAAAUCAGCAGUUGUAGAUCAGAAGUCCUUGUACUGAGGUGGUAUGAUGUAAUCACUCAAAAAAUUAUAUCAGAUGAUAAAAAAAAAUGUAUUAUACAUUCCCUCAUUUUUAAAAAUUAAAAUAUAUAAAAACAAUUUACAGAAUCCCAAACUAUUCUGUGACUGUUCAAUUGUGAGUGCUCACUAAGUCCUGAAUUUUAUUAUUGGUGGUCUGGUGUUUCAUCUGUAAUUUUUGACAGUGGUGUUUGUUAAAAAUAGUGGAGGUUUAUAUGUAAAUAUAUUGCUCCAAGUUGUAUGGGUUUCUAGCAUGCUUUAAGCAACAUCAUGAUGUCAUUACCUCUCAUUAAUUGUCAAAUUACCUAAAAUUGCUUUUCAUAUGACCUACUUGUCAUUUUAUGUAAAUGAUCUAAGCUUGUAUGUCAGUGUGUGGGCCACAAGCAGGUAGAGAAAUUUCUCCAGCUUCCUAAAUGUGAAGUAUUUUUCUUCUCCUCUGGCAAAAUGACCCGCUGGAAGCAAAGGAGGCUAAAGCUGGCACAUCCUUUGCAAAGGCAGUCUGGGUCAUGCGCAGAGCACAGCCAAGCACUGAGUUUGAGAUUGUAUUGACAAGAACAAGAUGAAUGGCCCCCUGGAGACUAUGGGGUUUGUAUGCUCGUUUCCACCACCUUUUCAUCCUUUUGUACCCCCUUUCAGUUCAUAUGCAGAUUAACUCAAAGCAAGUCCACACUAAAUACUCUUUUUCUCUUUAGUUUUGGAAGGUAGGUGGAGGAUCUAAAUAUUUAUGAGGCUUUUUUCCUCUGGUUUAUGAUGCACUCUUGUUGAAUGUUGAGGAAUUACGUUAAUGAAUGCAUGCCUGCACACACAGACACAGAAUCCAGGCAAAAGGAAAGAAAACCACACAAAGCAUUGUCAGCUCUAAUGUCAGUGCUUACUAAAACAGUUCCCAUUAAAAAAAAAAAAA